UUACGAAACUGCCAGGGGAAAAACCAUGAUUCAAAGGUGGUUUACCCAUGGCAAAAGGUUUAUCCAUUGCACUCCAGAUGUGCUGACCUCUGCAAUUUCCCCAAACGUGGGAAUUUCGACUGCAUAAUUUGUGGUAGUGGGGAAACUGCGUUCGUCCUCUCUA